rnacentral:rRNA from 1 species
AUUGAACGCUGGCGGCAUGCCUUACACAUGCAAGUCGAACGGUAACAGGUCUUCGGCUGUUGCCGAGUGGCGAACGGGUGAGUAAUACAUCGGAACGUGCCCAGACGUGGGGGAUAACGAGGCGAAAGCUUUGCUAAUACCGCAUACGAUCUAAGGAUGAAAGCAGGGGACCGCAAGGACUUGCGCGUUUGGAGCGGCCGAUGGCAGAUUAGGUAGUUGGUGGGAUAAAAGCUUACCAAGCCGACGAUCUGUAGCUGGUCUGAGAGGACGACCAGCCACACUGGGACUGAGACACGGCCCAGACUCCUACGGGAGGCAGCAGUGGGGAAUUUUGGACAAUGGGCGAAAGCCUGAUCCAGCAAUGCCGCGUGCAGGAUGAAGGCCUUCGGGUUGUAAACUGCUUUUGUACGGAACGAAAAGGCUCUGGCUAAUACCUGGGGCACAUGACGGUACCGUAAGAAUAAGCACCGGCUAACUACGUG